AGUUGCUAACGCGUGAAGGCGAGCACUCUAGACGAACUGCCGUUGACAAAACGGAGGAAGGUGGGGAUGACGUCAAAUCAUCAUGCCCUUAUGUUCUGGGCUACACACGUGCUACAAUGGCCGGUACAGACGGAGGCGAAGCCGCGAGGCGGAGCAAAUCCGAAAAAAGCCGGUCUCAGUCCGGAUUGGAGUCUGCAACUCGACUCCAUGAAGUUGGAAUCGCUAGUAAUCGCGGAUCAGCACGCCGCGGUCGAAUACGUUCCCGGGCCUU
rnacentral:rRNA from 1 species